UACAGAGGUCUCAAGCGUUGUUCGGAUUCAUUGGGCGUAACGGGUGUGUAGGUGGCGCGCUAAGUCGGGUGUGAAAUUUCGGAUCUUAACUCCGAAACUGCAUUCGAUACUGGCGUGCUUGAGGACUGGAGAGGAGACUGGAAUUCAUGGUGUAGCAGUGAAAUGCGUAGAGAUCAUGAGGAAGACCAGUGGCGAAGGCGGGUCUCUGGACAGUUCCUGACACUGAGGCACGAAGGCCAGGGGAGCAAACGGG
rnacentral:rRNA from 1 species